rnacentral:rRNA from 1 species
AUGUGUGUGCCAAAGGAAAUGGGUGGUAUGGGUUUCCGGGACAUUCAUAGUUUUAAUAUGGCCAUGCUGGCCAAACAAUGCUGGAGACUCAUUGAGAAUUAUGACUCACUUUGUGCAAGAGUUUGAAGGGCCAUAUACUAUAAUUCUGGGGAUAUUUUGAACUACGAAUUGAAUAGGGUUCAUCUUUGUGUGGCAAGUAUUUGGGAAGGAAUACAAACGUUCAAAAAAGGGUGCAUUUGGAGAGUUGGAGAUGGUGCAAAGAUAGACAUAUGGAGUGAUUGUUGGAUUCCCAGUAGUGCAUCAAGGAAAAUUGUUACUGUCCGCGGGAACCAAUUGCUCACUAAGGUUAGUGACCUCAUCGAUCCCUCCUCGGGCGAGUGGGAUGAACAACUGAGAAGGAACACUUUCUGGCCUAUAGAUGCUGAUCGGAUACUGCAAAUUCCUUUGUUUCGGCAACAUACAGAGGAUUACAUUGCAUGACACUUAAGUAAGAACGGCAUUUUCUCGGUUCGCUCAGCAUAUUACAAAAAGUGGGAGGAGACUUAUGCUCAGGAAGAUUUGCUGGGGAGCUACCGAUCUGGUUCUAGGCCACAUCCAGUAUGGAAGAAGGUCUGGAAGCUCAAACUACCAGGAAAAAUUAAGAUCUUUAUUUGGAGGUGCUUACACAAUGUGCUACCUUGCUUCAGCGUUCUAACUAAUCGGCAUGUUGGUACGAACUCUCAAUGUCCUAUCUGCAAGCUGGACGCGGAAGAUAUACGCCAUGUACUUUUUUCAUGUCCACGUGCUCUAGCUGUUUGGGAAGCCUUGGGCGUUGGCAAUAUUAUC